GUGCUCGGUCUGCUGCGGCGAGAUCAGGUGCGCAUGUGUCUCGAUGGCGCCCGCGGUGACGAUCAUGCCCUCGGCCGGAAUCGGCGUAGUGGCGGUGCCGACCACCAUUGCCUCGGUGACUCCUGGCAUGACGUCGGGGUUUCCCGCCUUGCCGAUACCGACGAUGCGGCCGUCGCGGAUGCCGAUGUCGGCCUUGACGAUGCCGCUGACUGCGUCGAUGAUCACCGCAUUCAUGAUCACGUAGUCGAGGGCACCGUCGGACACCUUGGUCGUCGGCCGGUAGCCUUCGCCGUCGCGUAC
rnacentral:sRNA from 1 species